AGCAGAUAUCCAUACAGAACACACAUAUUAACUAAGCUAAAUAUGUGUAGUUAUUUUGUUGUUAUAUGUUUCUGCUUUCCUUCACUUUACUGUACUGCCAAUCAAAACUUUGUAGCUUUCCUUCACUUUACUGUACUGCCAAUCAAAACUUUGUAGUAACCACCUGCUGUAGUUUUUGGUAUCUUCUUGCUAUUCAUGGUGCCUUGAAAAUGGAAUUGCCAGUAUAUGACUAGGUGGUUAACCUGUUACUAGUUUUUUGUUCUGAAAAAACAAGACACUGUAUAAUUUUUUCUUUUUGUCUGAGCGUAGGUGCGAAAUACCCUCUUGAAACGGGUGAACUCUAUGUAUGCUACACAGUCCAAGAGUGAAACCUCAAGUUCUAAAAAGAAGUGAAGAAAGUAACAGUGACAGAUUGGAAAGAAAGAACCCGGAAUGCAAUAUCAGGCCCUCUUUACAAGGAUAUUUAAAUAAGUCAAUGGUUUAUUAUUAAAAUAAAGGUUGUUAUGAAUGAAACUCUUCUAGACUGUUGUUAAAAAAGCGAACAGCUGCCUAGAGUAGUGAUGUAUGCUGCAAAUGUGCUGUAGUCAUUGUUGCUACCUUAUUUAGAAACUCAUCUUUUUUAAGCAUUAGAAAAGCAUCCGUUCCGACAUUUGAUUUUCAGUUUGAACUCAUUAGUAAUUACACACUAUUUACAAUUCAUUUGCACAAUAAAACCUUCUUCAUGUGAAGGGCUCCUGCCCUACCACAGUCAGGCAAUUAAGAAAAAUAAUAACUGCAUAUUUAAGCAACAAAACUCAAAACCACUUAGAAUGAUUACAUCAUCAUAAAAUCCAACUUAUAGCAAUGCAAAUUAUCAAUAAAAAUGACAUUUUCAU